AUAUUCUCCGAUGAAGGACUUGUGGACAAGGGAAAACAUCCGGUGCUUGAUAAUUUAAGAGAACUUAAGUUGAGUAAGCUACCCAACCUAAAGCGUGUCUGUGGAGAAGACUAUUUAAUCACUAAAAUUCUUCAAAGCAUCGACAAAUUUGAGGUUUGCAAUUGUCCUGGUUUGACAACAUUAUUUCCGGCCAUGGCAUAUUUUCGGAAUUUGAUGGAGUUAGUGGUGAAGAGUUCCUCUGGAUUGGUAUAUCUAGGAACAGUUUCAGCGGUCACAAAUUUGGUGCAUCUCACCAAGAUGACUAUAAUAGGAUGUGAUAGAAUGAAAGAAGUAGUGGCAAACAAUGAAAACGAAGAAAGAAAAGCGAUUUCUCUUGAGAAGCUAGAAGGUUUGACUCUCCAAAAUCUGCCCAGCCUAGAAUGCUUCUCCUCCGCCGCAAGUUGUAGCUUCAGGUUUCCAUCCUUGUUGUGGAUUGAAGUGGAAGAGUGUCCGAAAAUGAAGAUCUUUUCUAAGGGUAGGCUAAGCAUGCCAAAGCUAAAUUGGGGGACACUGUUUAGAUAUGACAUGGAUGAGAAUUGGGAGGGUGAUCUUAAUACAACCAUACAAAAGUUAUCAGCAUAAACAAUGCACAUAAAAUUGUCCCUGCCAAGUGGAAGGGCAGAUGCUACUGGUGGCAUAGAGAUUUGGAAGUUACUGAGGCACAAAGGUUGAGAUGAGGAAGAUUUUUAUGGAGGCUGUCCAAACUGAUGAAGGAGCAAAGCUUCAGCGACAAGAUUGGGAAGGUAGCAUGGAAAAUUCCAAAUGCGAGGUGAGCCCCGGCAUGGUGGCUCCUGGUAGCUCUACUUCUUAAUGUUCGCGGGCAACUACAUCUCUCGAACCAGCCAGCAAGUCCAAGCUGCAGAAUCAUUUCUUCUUAGUAGUCAACCGGUCACAUAACCUAUUGAAGCAAAAUGUGAAUAUCCGAGGUGCUUUUUUUAAGGGACGCAUCAAUGGAAGCAUGCAAACCGUAACUCUUAAGCAUUUGGACGGAUCAUGGCCAGUGAAGCUCCUGUACUUCCCACAACAUGGCUCGGGUAAGCUCUCUGCCGGUUGGGGCGCGUUUCAGAAAGGAACUUCUCUAAAGGAAGGAGAUGUCUGUGUGUUCGAGCUUGUUAGAAAUGAUGAUAUUGAAUUCAAAGUCUCCAUUUUCAGAAGGAAUGUCGAGACUUAGGCGUAAACUUUGGUAUGCCAUCAGAAAAAUCU